UACGAAGGGGCUAGCGUUGCUCGGAAUUACUGGGCGUAAAGCGCACGUAGGCGGCUUUCUAAGUCGGGGGUGAAAUCCUGGAGCUCAACUCCAGAACUGCCUUCGAUACUGGAAAGCUCGAGUCCGGGAGAGGUGAGUGGAACUGCGAGUGUAGAGGUGAAAUUCGUAGAUAUUCGCAAGAACACCAGUGGCGAAGGCGGCUCACUGGCCCGGUACUGACGCUGAGGUGCGAAAGCGGUGGGGAGCAAACAGG
rnacentral:rRNA from 1 species